AGAGUUUGAUCCUGGCUCAGAUUGAACGCUGGCGGCAUGCCUUACACAUGCAAGUCGAACGGCAGCACGGGAGCAAUCCUGGUGGCGAGUGGCGAACGGGUGAGUAAUACAUCGGAACGUGCCCUGUUGUGGGGGAUAACUAGUCGAAAGAUUAGCUAAUACCGCAUACGACCUGAGGGUGAAAGCGGGGGACCGAAAGGCCUCGCGCAAUAGGAGCGGCCGAUGUCUGAUUAGCUAGUUGGUGGGGUAAAAGCUCACCAAGGCGACGAUCAGUAGCUGGUCUGAGAGGACGAUCAGCCACACUGGGACUGAGACACGGCCCAGACUCCUACGGGAGGCAGCAGUGGGGAAUUUUGGACAAUGGGGGCAACCCUGAUCCAGCAAUGCCGCGUGUGUGAAGAAGGCCUUCGGGUUGUAAAGCACUUUUGUCCGGAAAGAAAUGGCCCUGGCUAAUACCCGGGGUCGAUGACGGUACCGGAAGAAUAAGCACCGGCUAACUACGUG
rnacentral:rRNA from 1 species